AAAAAGACAAACCCUGGUUUUCGUGUCCAAUAUUUGACCAUUCAUCUUAUUUGAAAAAAUUACGAAAAAAAUUAAAAAGACAAGUCAUGUAUAAAAUAUUAAUCAUGUUUUAUCAUCUAACAAUAAUAAAAAUACGAAUUAUAAAAAAAAUUUCAUAUAAGACGGAUAGUUAAAGUUGGACACGGAAACCCAAGGUUUGACUUUUU
rnacentral:pre_miRNA from 1 species